rnacentral:rRNA from 1 species
GACAGAGGGGGCAAGCGUUGCUCGGAAUCACUGGGCGUAAAGGGCGCGAAGGCGGGAUGGCAAGUCGGUCGUGAAAUCCCUGGGCUCAACUCAGGGGGGUCGGCCGAUACUGCCGUUCUUGAGGGAUGCAGAGGAGACUGGAAUUCCCGGUGUAGCGGUGAAAUGUGUAGAGAUCGGGAGGAACACCGGUGGCGAAGGCGGGUCUCUGGGCAUUCCCUGACGCUGAGGCGCGAAAGCGUGGGGAGCAAACGGG